rnacentral:misc_RNA from 1 species
UGCAUAUUUAUCUUCCAUUAAUAAAUAAAAAAUAAAAAAUAGAUAAAAUGUUGAGAGAUGAAUUGAUGUGCAUAUGUAUACAGAGACAAUUACCAAAUCACACUAAUCCUUACAACCCCACACACACCCAUUUACCCUCUUUGACUCUCUGUUGAGGAAAAAUGUUAUUUUAUUAAAUUCUGUUCUUUUCUGGUUUUGGAUUGGUUAAAUUAUUUUACCCCUUAUGUUUGACAAAAACUACGUAUCUGUCCUUAAUGUUCCCUUUCUCAUCUAUCUAAAUUUAUUAUAAUUUAUAUUUAAUAAUAAAUUAAAUAACUAAUAAC